rnacentral:rRNA from 1 species
GACCCAGGAAUACUUGGGCGUGCCUCCACCCACGCCGGCGUCGGCGGGCGUAUUUCGCCUCACAGUAGGUCGCCGCGACCCGUUGCUUUUGGGGACGUCGAAGGCCCGGACGGAUUGGUACCCUACCGGCUGGGGAUGCGGCUUCGGCUUCUCCUCUUGUCCGGUGGGCGAAACCGCCGGUGUCCUGGCUGCCCUGCGACGGUCGUAGAGACGAGCCCCUCCCAUUCGUGGGGGGCGGCUCUCGCGGCGUGCAAAAGGUCGGUGAUCCACCCGACCCGUCUUGAAACACGGACCAAGGAGUCUAACAUGUGUGCGAGUCAGUGGGCGCACUAAACCCAGAGGCGUAAUGAAAGUGACACGGGUUCGGCUGUCGCCUCGUGUGGCAGCCGGACUCAGGGCCGAUCCCUCACCGGUUGCCCUCGCCUCUCUCUCCCGCGUCUCGGUAAGCCGGGUGAGCUAUUUUCCCCGGCCGCUGCUGCGGGGCGCGGGGGGUGGCGGGGUGCGAUGGUGUCCGUAAAAAAGAGCCUGCUGUUGCAGGGGGGCGCAGGCCCGGGACUUGCCAGGACGCCGCGAGACUGUCACUUUGCUGUGAGGCUCCAGGGCCGAUCAGCGGGUCAUGCGUGCAGUCGGCAAGUACCAUGAGCAGACAUGUUGGGACCCGAAAGAUGGUGAACUAUGCCUGGCCAGGAUGAAGCCAGAGGAAACUCUGGUGGAGGUC